rnacentral:tRNA from 1 species
CAGAAUGUAGCUUAAACCGUGGCAAAGCACCUCCUUUACACUGAGAAAAUAUCCGUUCAACUCGGGUUAUUCUGA